rfam:Haemonchus placei strain MHpl1 genome assembly, scaffold: HPLM_scaffold0001667
AUUGCAUUUUCUUCGAACUGAGUCAUUGGUGUGUUCUUGCACAAUGAUAAGAACACUCUCUGACUUUGGUUUGAAGAGUUAUAUGCAGU